AUGGGAGUAAGUCUGAUUGGAUUGUUUGAAACCUCCUGGGUUCCACCGGAGCACGUCUGCACCUCUCUGGUCUUUUUACCCCCCCCCCCCCCCCCCCUAAUCUCUCCAUUGUUCUCCUCUACUCUCACCUGUCACCCUCUCUUCUGUCUCUCUCCUCUCACCUGUCUCUCUCCUCUCACCUGUCUCUCUCUCUCACCUGUCUCUCUCCUCUCACCUGUCUCUCUCCUCUCACCUGUCACCCUCUCACCUGUCUCUCUCCUCUCACCUGUCUCUCUCCUCUCACCUGUCACCCUCUCACCUGUCUCUGUCUCCUCUCACCUGUCUCUCUCUCACCUGUCUCUCUCCUCUCACCUGUCUCUGUCUCCUCUCACCUGUCUCUCUCCUCUCACCUGUCUCUGUCUCCUCUCACCUGUCUCUCUCCUCUCACCUGUCUCUCUCUCUCACCUGUCUCUCUCCUCUCACCUGUCUCUCUCUCCUCUCACCUGUCACCCUCUCACCUGUCUCUGUCUCCUCUCACCUGUCUCCCUCUCACCUGUCUCUGUCUCCUCUCACCUGUCACCCUCUCUUCUGUCUCUCUCCUCUCACCUGUCUCUCUCUUCUCACCUGUCUCUCUCCUCUCACCUGUCUCUCUCCUCUCACCUGUCUCCUUUCACCUGUCUCUCUCCUCUCACCUCUCCUCUCACUUGUCUCUCUCUCACCUGUCCAUUUUCCUCUCUCUCUCUCACCUGUCUCCCUCUCACCUGUCUCCUUUCACCUGUCCAUUUUCCUCUCUCUCCUCUCACCUGUCUCUCUCUCACCUGUCUCCUUUCACCUGUCCAUUUUCCUCUCUCUCUCUCACCUGUCUCCCUCUCACCUGUCUCCUUUCACCUGUCCAUUUUCCUCUCUCUCUCUCACCUGUCUCUCUCCUUUCACCUGUCUCUCUCCUCUCACCUGUCUCUCUCUCACCUGUCCAUUUUCCUCUCUCUCUCUCACAUGUCUCUCUCCUCUCACCUGUCUCUCUCCUCUCACCUGUCUCUCUCUCAGUCAUCCUCUCUAUUUGAUUUUUGCUUGCCAAAGUCACCAGCCUAG
rnacentral:lncRNA from 1 species